rnacentral:rRNA from 1 species
UACGGGGGGGGCAAGCGUUGUUCGGAAUUACUGGGCGUAAAGGGCUCGUAGGCGGCCAACUAAGUCCGACGUGAAAUCCCCAGGCUUAACCUGGGAACUGCGUCCGAUACUGGUGGGCUUGAAUCCGGGAGAGGGAUGUGGAAUUCCAGGUGUAGCGGUGAAAUGCGUAGAUAUCUGGAGGAACACCGGUGGCGAAGGCGGCAUCCUGGACCGGUAUUGACGCUGAGGCGCGAAAGCUAGGGGAGCAAACGGG